rnacentral:rRNA from 1 species
GAUUGAAUGGCUCAGUGAGGCCUUUCGGACUGGCUCAGGGAGGUCGGCAACGACCACCCAGAACCGGAAAGUUGGUCAAACUUGGUCAUUUAGAGGAAGUAAAAGUCGUAACAAGGUUUCCGUAGGUGAACCUGCGGAAGGAUCAUUACCAAAUGUUAGCUGCCUGGUGUCAAAGCCAGCGCACGCUCCAACCCUUUGUGAACCAAAAACCCUUUCGCUUCGGCAGCAGGGUAGCCACUUCAAACCUGGCUACCCGUCAGCCUGCCCGCAGCAACAAACCAAACCUGCAGUCGAACAUUGUCUGAACAGAUUUCAUCUAGAAUGAAAAUCAAAACUUUCAACAACGGAUCUCUUGGUUCUCGCAUCGAUGAAGAACGCAGCGAAACGCGAUAGUUAAUGUGAAUUGCAGAAUUCAGUGAAUCAUCGAGUCUUUGAACGCACAUUGCGCCCAUCGGUAUUCCUUUGGGCAUGUCUGUUUGAGCGUCAUUACAACCCUCAGCACAAGCUGGUUCUGAGCGCGAAGCCCUGCUCUAGCAGGGCCCCCGCUUCAAAGUUGCACGCUCUGCUGACUGCUCCGUCCCACCGAAACGUAGUAGAAAUGCCCCGUUGACGGUUGGCGGCCGCGGUUCGGCCUGAACAAAACCUGACCCAAGGUUUGACCUCAGAUCAGACAAGGAUACCCGCUGAACUUAAGCAUAUCAAUAAGCGGAGGAAAAGAAACCAACAGGGAUUGCCUCAGUAACGGCGAGUGAAGCGGCAACAGCUCAAAUUUGAAAUCUGGGGCCUCCGGCUCCCGAGUUGUAAUUUGAAGAGGAUGCUUCGGUUGCGGCACCGGUCAAAGUUCUUUGGAACAGGACGUCAUGGAGGGUGAGAACCCCGUACCUGACCGGCGGCUUGCUUCCAUGUGAAGCUCCUUCGAAGAGUCGAGUUGUUUGGGAAUGCAGCUCAAAAUGGGUGGUAAAUUUCAUCUAAAGCUAAAUACUGGCGAGAGACCGAUAGCGCACAAGUAGAGUGAUCGAAAGAUGAAAAGCACUUUGAAAAGAGAGUUAAACAGUACGUGAAAUUGUUGAAAGGGAAGCGCUUGCAACCAGACUCGCUCGCGGUUGAUCAAUGUUCCUUCUGGUUCAUGCACUCUGCCGUUUGCGGGCCAGCAUCGGUUGGGGCGGCAGGACAAAGGCGGUGGGAAUGUGGCUCCUUCUGGAGUGUUUAGCCCGCCGCGCAAUGCUGCCUGUCCCGACCGAGGUCCGCGGUUCGCCUAGGAUGCUGGCUUAAUGGUUGUAAGCGACCCGUCUUGAAACACGGACCAAGGAGUCUAACAUCUAUGCGAGUCUUCGGGUGCCAAACCCGCAGGCGCAAUGAAAGUGAACGGAGGUGGGAGUCCUCGGAUGCACCAUCGACCGAUCCUGAUGUUCUCGGAUGGAUUUGAGUAGGAGCAUAGCUGUUGGGACCCGAAAGAUGGUGAACUAUGCCUGAAUAGGGUGAAGCCAGAGGAAACUCUGGUGGAGGCUCGCAGCGGUUCUGACGUGCAAAUCGAUCGUCAAAUUUGGGUAUAGGGGCGAAAGACUAA